GAUGAAGAACGUAGCAAAAUGCGAUAAGUAAUGUGAAUUGCAGAAUUCAGUAAAUCAUCGAAUCUUUGAACGCACAUUGCGCCCGCCAGUAUUCUGGCGGGCAUGCCUGUUCGCGCGUCAUUUCAACCCUCAAGCACAGCUUGGUGUUGGGACUCGCGUUAAUUCGCGUUCCCCAAAUUGAUUGGCGGUCACGUCGAGCUUCCAUAGCGUAGUAGUAAAACCCUCGUUACUGGUAAUCGUCGCGGCCACGCCGUUAAACCCCAACUUCUGAAUGUUGACCUCGGAUCAGGUAGGAAUACCCGCUGAACUUAAGCAUAUCAAUAAGCGGAGGA
rnacentral:misc_RNA from 1 species